GAAAUCUGUUUUCAGUGGGAUGAGACGUCCUUUCCUCUAAAGCGUCACCUGAAUUUGUCAGCUGUACGGGCUGAGUUAGCAACGGCUUUCAGCUGCCGGAGGGGCUCCACUCACGUAUCCUUGCUCAUAGCUCCUCGUAGAGCCCUCCUCGCUCAUAGCUCCUCGUAGAGCCCUCCUCGCUCAUAGCUCCUCGUAGAGCCCUCCUCGCUCAUAGCUCCUCGGAGAUCCCUCCUCGCUCAUGGCACCUCGGAGAUACCUCCUCGCUCAUAGCUCCUCGGAGAUCCCUCCUCGCUCAUAGCUCCUUGGAGAUCCCUCCUCGCUCGUAGCUCCUCAGAGAUACCUCCUCGCUCAUAGCUCCUCAGAGAUCCCUCCUCGCUCGUAGCUCCUCGGAGAUCCCACCUCGCUCAUAGCUCCUUGGGGCAGGAAUAAGAGCUUUAAAACUGCCUUCACGGAGGAGGACCAGA